CUGCUUUUUCCUGUAAAUUUCAGUCAGUUUCUUCAUUACAGCUUUCUUUAGUAUCUUUCUUUUCCCUUCUUAUUUUACAACCCACCUGCCCCCCUUGUGUCUGCACUUCUGGCAUCUUGACUAAAGGAAGCCAGGGAGGUGUUGUCCUUUAAGCCCUGACCUCUCGAACUCUCCACCUGACUGGAUUAAGGACUUUCUUUACACUCCUCAGUACCUCUUAUUGUUUUCCCAUUCCCCUGUGUUUUCGAGGAAAGUCUACAGAAUUGUUUAUUUUUUACCUCAUGUUUUUUUGACCCUGUUCUUGUAUUAGCCGACAUUUCCCCUGUUCCUGGGUCCAGUGUUCCCACUGUUUCAGAGUUGUAAUAGGGCGGCCCUUAGCGGCUGGAAACACAGUGAGUUGGACGAAGGCAAGUGCAGUGGAACAAAGUAUUUAUUUGCUAUACAGCUCUCCUCACAACAAUUAACUCCUUGAGCUUCUUCACAGCACAAAAUAUCCUCCUCUAAUGACAACCAGCAGCCUUAAAUAUGUUCAGCUGUCACAGACUAAACCAUUAUUCCACUCUUAGGUAAAUUCUUAAAUCCCCACCUUCCACCACAGUAUACAAUAUAUCAAUUAGAAUAAAUAAAUACAGUUCACAUUUUCAUAUUAAUAAAUAUUUCACACUUUAAUUUUACACCAAACCCAAUAUUAUAAAAACCCAGAAACCCAAGCACAAAAAGAUUCACCACACUCUCUUUACCAAUGGUCUCUCCCGGAACCUUUAAAUGGUGUCUGGACCCCCGGGGAAACAUUUGCCCAAACACCCUGAAGAGGACACAGGCAAGAAAGACAACCACCACAUUCCUUGAUGAGGAGCAGCUGUGCAGGAUCUGAAACAAGGCUACCAACUGAUUUUAAAAUUCCCAAUAAAUAAUCAAUAAAUAUUUAAACUUCUUGUGUGCAAA